UGGCAUGAAACCUCAUAGGCGUCGCGCAGGGCAGGGCGGCGGGCGGCCCGGUCCUCGUCGUGGGCGCCGAUUACGACACGGGCGCGCAUGGAUCGCCGCUGGAGGACAACGGGGCGGGCGUGGCUGUGUUGCUGGAGGUUGCAAGGCUCUUCGUGCAACAGACGGGCGUGGGGGGCGCCUUCGAGCAGCUCGGAUCCGUGGUGUUCGUGGCCUUUGAUGGGAAUACGAAGGAAUAUGGAACCAGCCACCCAGGCAAGCAAGGCUCGUACCACUUUCUGCACCAAUGGCUCUGGAAUUACCUCGGCCAAUCAGCUGAUCGCUUCGGCGGCGCCAUCAUCAUCGACUCGAUCGCGAGAUAUAGCGAAGUCGACGAUUCGCAGUACGUCUCCGAGGAUUUCGUUGCCGCGUUUCCCGACGCGUCACGUGACAUCGCCAAGAACCACAACAGAGCCAACUUUCUCGCCGUCUUUGCGAGAGAGGACAAUUCGAGCCAUCAACUUGCAAAAGCAUUUUCAAAAAAUUACGAAAGGG